AGUCUUGGCCCCACCGGUCACGACCCCGCUCACGGAGUCUGCGCAGGCGCCGUCGCGGGGCGUGGAGAAGCUGCUCCCUUGGGAUAAGGCCCGCGGGGAAUACUUGGAACCUUGACACCGCUGUAGUCUGCUCUCGCCGCGCUGGGUUUUAGGAGCCGUAACGACAAUAAUCGUGUCCACCAUUCUCACUACAGGCCCCGAAGCACGUAGGUGCCGUUUUUUAUCCCAACUUAACUGAAGAAAAAAAAAACACGGCCGGGCGCGGUGGCUCAAGCCUGUAAUCCCAGCACGUUGGGAGGCCAAGGCGGGCAGAUUACAUGAGACCAGGCGUUCAAGACCAGCCUGGCCAACAUGGUGAAACCUCGUCUCUACUAAAAAUACAAAUAUAUUAGCCGGGCGUGGUGGCGGGCGCCUGUAAUCCUAGCUGCUUGGGAGGCUGAGGCAGAGAAUUGCUUGAACCCUGGAGGCGGAGGUUGCAGUGAGUGGAGAUGGCGCCACUGCACUCCCGUCUGGGGGAGAGAGAGAGAGAGACUCUUGUCUCAAAAAAAAAAAAAGGACUUGUCCUCCAAUGUCAAUAACAACAAACUAGACAAAUAAAACUUCGAGGGCAUUAAGGCAAUAUGGUGUUAUGCCACAAA
rnacentral:lncRNA from 1 species